rnacentral:lncRNA from 1 species
GGCCAGUAUAAUUUUGGUGAUGGGUGGGAUUUGUUUUUUUUUUGUUGUUGUUGUUUUAUUUUGUUUUGGUUUUGUUUUUUUUCCCCUAGAACAACCCAGCUGUGUUUCCUUGGUGUUGAGAGAGAAAACUUCCUGGGCAAAAAUGAGACAAGUAGGCUCAAAAGGUGUACACAUAGGAGUUGGCAUCAGUGCCUAGGAAGGAAUGGAAGCAGCCUUGGCCAGUGACUGACAGCCCAGUUCAAAUAUCUCCAGAGGCUCUUGGAGAUUCCUGGCAGGCAUUCCUGUUUGAAAAUGUGCAAGUUCUUAUGUUUUCUUCCACAAAAAUUUACACUGCUGUGUUUCUGCUCUCUCAUCUGUGAUUUAUCUGCUCAGGUUUGUUUCUGGUUUUUAAGUUUACAAGUGAGCAAAACAGUGACUUGUAUUCUUUAGAUACCUAGAAGUUACUGGAAGUCUGAAGAAUGAGUUAGGCAAUCUAAUUAUUUGAGUACAAGUGUUUUGCAAGUUAAAGAAAAUAAUUUUGUUUCUUUUUCUGUUUUGAAAACAAAUAUAUCUGACUUCAGUUACUCUUAGUGAUCCCUUCAUUUUCCCAGUUUAUUGAGACAUACUGGUUUCAUGUGUUACAUACUUCUGCCUCAUUCUUAGAAAGGAAAGAAAAAAAACCCAUAUGUUGUGCUUUAAUGGUAAAUCCCAGGGAUUGUCUGUGUGGUUGUAAGGGGUAUGUAUAUAAGCCAUAAGACAAAAUUACUGCCCCUAUCUAAACUACAUCUACCAUAGAAGAUAUCCAGUAAGUAAUUCUGUGAUUCUGCUAAAGUAAAGAGCUGUCUUGAUAUCUCAUGCUUUUUUAGAGACAACCUAGGUUUCUUACUUUUUUUUAAUGCUUUCUCUAUGAGCAUUUUUAUUCAGGAAACAUUAAGUAGUGAUUUAAGAAAUAUUGAAGGAGUCCAAGAGUGGAGUCCUUGCAAGGUAAACAUCUUGUUUUAAAAUUAUGUUGAAAAGUAUGUUGAACCGGGAGACUUUUAUGGGAGAUCUAUGUGAAAUGUUUAAUCAGAGUCCCAACUUUAUCUCCUGAGUGUUUAAAUGGUGUUUUAUGAGAAUGAAGACCUAACUUCCCCAUUUUUAAAUUUCUUCACUUAGUGAUAUGUAAUAUCAGAAAGAAAAAAAUUAAAUAGAUAAAUAAUUUAGAAAAAAAACCCCAA